rnacentral:rRNA from 1 species
GAUGAACGCUGGCGGCGUGCUUAACACAUGCAAGUCGAACGGGAAUUAUUUUAUUGCAACUUCGGUCGAUUUAAUUUAAUUCUAGUGGCGGACGGGUGAGUAACGCGUGGGUAACCUGCCUUAUACAGGGGGAUAACAGUCAGAAAUGGCUGCUAAUACCGCAUAAGCGCACAGAGCUGCAUGGCUCAGUGUGAAAAACUCCGGUGGUAUAAGAUGGACCCGCGUUGGAUUAGCUUGUUGGCAGGGUAACGGCCUACCAAGGCGACGAUCCAUAGCCGGCCUGAGAGGGUGAACGGCCACAUUGGGACUGAGACACGGCCCAGACUCCUACGGGAGGCAGCAGUGGGGAAUAUUGCACAAUGGGGGAAACCCUGAUGCAGCGACGCCGCGUGAAGGAAGAAGUAUCUCGGUAUGUAAACUUCUAUCAGCAGGGAAGAUAGUGACGGUACCUGACUAAGAAGCCCCGGCUAACUACGUG